rnacentral:rRNA from 1 species
GACGAACGCUGGCGGCGUGCUUAACACAUGCAAGUCGAACGGAAAGGCCCUGCUUUUGUGGGGUGCUCGAGUGGCGAACGGGUGAGUAACACGUGAGUAACCUGCCCUUGACUUUGGGAUAACUUCAGGAAACUGGGGCUAAUACCGGAUAGGAGCUCCCGCUGCAUGGUGGGGGUUGGAAAGUUUCGGCGGUUGGGGAUGGACUCGCGGCUUAUCAGCUUGUUGGUGGGGUAGUGGCUUACCAAGGCUUUGACGGGUAGCCGGCCUGAGAGGGUGACCGGCCACAUUGGGACUGGGAUACGGCCCAGACUCCUACGGGAGGCAGCGGUGGGGAAUAUUGCACAAUGGGCGGAAGCCUGAUGCAGCAACGCCGCGUGCGGGAUGACGGCCUUCGGGUUGUAAACCGCUUUCGCCUGUGACGAAGCGUGAGUGACGGUAAUGGGUAAAGAAGCACCGGCUAACUACGUG